rnacentral:pre_miRNA from 1 species
UAUAAUUUUUUACUAUUCGUCCUAUUUAAAUUUUUUUAUGAUUGAUAUUUUUAUUUUUAUUAGAUGAUAAAUCAUAAAUAGUACUUUACGUGUGACUAAUUUUUUUCUAAUUUCUAAAUAUUUUCAAAUAAAAUGGAUGGUCAAACGUUGGACACGGAAACCGAAG